AUGUUGAUGCCCAAGAAGAAUCGGAUCGCCAUCUACGAGCUCCUCUUUAAGGAGGGCGUGAUGGUCGCGCCAAGAAGGACGUCCACAUGCCCAAACACCCGGAGCUGGCGGACAAGAACGCGCCCAACCUUCACGUCAUGAAGGCCAUGCAGUCUCUCAAGUCUCGGGGCUACGUGAAGGAGCAGUUUGCUUGGAGACACUUCUACUGGUACCUCACGAACGAGGGCAUCCAAUAUCUACGAGAUUACCUGCACCUACCUCUGGAGAUCGUGCCCGCCACCCUGCGCCGCAGCCGUCCCGAGACUGGCAGGCCACGGCCAAAAGGUCCAGAGGGUGAGCGGCCUGCAAGAUUCACAAGAGGGGAGGCGGACAGAGACACCUACAGAAGGAGCGCUGUGCCACCUGGAGCUGACAAGAAAGCUGAGGCUGGGGCUGGUUCAGCAACUGAAUUCCCAUUUAGAGGCGGCUUCGGUCGUGGGCGUGGUCAGCCACCCCAGUGAUUUUGGAGACUGUUGUAUUGAAUAAACUUUAAAGAAAAAAAAAAAA